UACGAAGGGGGCUAGCGUUGCUCGGAAUCACUGGGCGUAAAGGGUGCGUAGGCGGGUCUUUAAGUCAGGGGUGAAAUCCUGGAGCUCAACUCCAGAACUGCCUUUGAUACUGAAGAUCUUGAGCCCGGGAGAGGUGAGUGGAACUGCGAGUGUAGAGGUGAAAUUCGUAGAUAUUCGCAAGAACACCAGUGGCGAAGGCGGCUCACUGGCCCGGUACUGACGCUGAGGCACGAAAGCGUGGGGAGCAAACAGG
rnacentral:rRNA from 1 species